ensembl:lncRNA
UGGCGGCACUAGGACCCAGCGUGCUCGCUGCUGUCAAACAAGUAGCAUCUGCCUUUGCCUCUGAGCAGGGCAGGCUGGGCGGCUGCUCUCUGGAUCUCCACCUUCUCCGUGUCCUGCUCCUUUCGUGGACAUGGUGGCCGCAGGUGAAGGAGGUCCCCACGUGACCUGAGCGCACCUGAGUUUUCCUCAGAGAAGUGACAGUUUGUGUUCUUGAUUGAAGGCACCUGCCCUGAGCUCCUCCUCCCUCGGCUGUCACUCUGUCUGUCAGUGUGAGGAUAUCUCCUUCCCUCUUUCUAGGGUUUCAUAAUGCGCCGGGAUCUGCCGCUCAUUCACAGGCUGGGGUGGAUUUCAUCCCUCUGCUUGUUGGAGAACAUCAGCCAGUGAUGAAAACGGCCUCGACAUGAAUCAGCACAGUGGUUUGGAGGAGCUGACUGGGAGGCCUCGGGUCCCACACAACUUUAAAUAAGAUACAUUUUUACAAGAGGACUUUUUUUUAAGGAUUUAUUGUCUUGUUUGGAUUCCCUGAACUCAUAAUCAUGGGGAACGCAGCUGGAAGUGCCGCAAUCUCUCAAAAUAGGGAGACCAGGAGCCUGACUCCCACUGGGUCCGGGAAACAAGCGGCAGGUGUGAACCCCCCCAUGCCCCCCGAGGAGGAGCUGGAGGAGCGCUUCAGCGCAGCUCUGAUGUUGUUCUGCCUUCUUUCCUGCCACAUUUGCUGCUGUAGUGUUUCCUGUUUCUACAUCUCAGCUGGGAAACUUCUAGAGUAAAAGUCCUUCAUGCAUAAACCAGACCUAUUAUUAUGAGCCAAAUGUCAAAGUUGGUGCUGUGUGUGUUUACAUGUUCAUGCUGUCCUGUGGGUGACGAGAGAUGCUUUGCUGUCAACUCAUAGCAAAGAAUUACAAGUCCCCAGGAGGGAGGCAGAGAAAGCACAAGAACCUUUGGAGCUCUUUUUAAAAAGAUGCAUCAUAAAAAUGGAAGAAGAAAAAGCCAAUAUUAAUUUGGGUUUUGGAGGUAAAAGGUUUAUUGACACAACAGUUGUAAUUUUUUAAGAACUCGGUCAAAGUCACAUACAGAACCAAACCUUUGACAGCAGCAUUCCUCAACAUCAUCCCUCCCUCAGCAGCAGCGCCUUCAGAAAAACAAGGCUUGUGUCUCUUUACGCCCCGCCUUUGUUCAGUAUGCCACCAGACAACUUCCUCUCUUAUCAACCGCAUUCCUCGUUUUUAUCGUCUUAUCACCUCACCUCAGAUUCUUCUGCUCCUGAAGUUGAAUGGCAGGUGAGCCACAGACAGGAGGAUCGGCCUUUACCUCUACAGAGCAGCAAAUGUUUUCAAUUUCUCUUUAGUCAAACAGCUGGAGGACAAAUGCUUGGUUUAUGAAUGAAUGACCUGUAAUGUGAUUUAGAAGAAUCCUUCUCAUCUUGAUUUUAGGCUCUUCAUGGUUGAAUGGCACUUGCUCACAUCUCUUUUUGUCCUUUUAGCCGUCAUCAGUGUAUCUGUGAGUAAGGCUGGCUGGGAAAACACAGGAGAAAGACUGACUGUUCCAUCAGAUGCAGACACUGAAAGAAUAACUGAUUCCUAAGAAUGUUGUGUUUCAGACUCAUAGACGUACAUCUCCGGGUGAGGAGAAAAAAAUACAGGCCUGGGCUUAAAGGCAUGUACAAAAAACAACAGAAGAUUGCACUUUAAUAAUUAUCUACAGAAGUUUUUUUGUUCCUCUUUUUCAAGAAAUUCUGUUUUUCCUCUGUGUGUUCUUUAAGUAAGAAUCAAGCUAGAGAAAGAAUUAGCAAAACUUUGAGUUUGGUACAUGCAUUUGUUGCAAAUCUAGUCUAAAACAAAAACACUGAUUUCCAGAUACCAAAUGGUAUCCUCCGAGUAUUGACUUUGUUUUUUUCCAUUUACGAUAAACAUACAGGUUAAGCUGGUUCGCCUGUGCUGGAUCAUGACUGUGUGGUGGAAAUAGUUUUCCAAAUAUUUCAUCACUUUUUAAAACGACUUCCGGGAGCAUCUGUUAGACCUGAAAGGCGUGUGCCAUGACGACCUGUAUUUAGACACUCGUCAUGUGGAAUGCUCCCUUCAUACACCUCCA